GCGCCCCUAGGUAGGGCCGCAGUGGUGGAGUCCUCGAAGCUCCCUCCUGGUCCCGACCCCCUUUAGUGGCAAGGCAGCGGGUCCUUGGAGUUCCAGCUGAGAAGUCCCGAAACCUUCCGGGCCCUUACGCUGGUGGAAAUGAGACGAGAGAGCACACGUACUCCCCACGUUAGAGCUUCUGCUCUGGGAAACUCCAGGUGACUGCACCUCUCUGCCAGACACUGUUCUCCCCGGGGCAGGUUUACCUGAUGCGUCAGAAAAGGAGCUGUGCCAAAUGGCAAUGGAACCGCCUGGGGUCAGGGCUGGAGUCAGGCGGGUUUAAAACUCCGCGCUGCUGCUGGCCUCAGAACGUAUUUAACGUAACUAGUGGAAACAAUCCUGCUGUGAACUUGUUGCAACAUUGCUUCCCCGUGAGACCAGGAAGUGGGCUAGGCACGGCCCACCGUCCGUCUUGACCCAGGCAAAUGUGGCUCUCUGCAACGUUCUGGCCCUGUGGGGUUAAGCCGACCAAGGACAACAGCACCGGGGAAAUUCAUAACAUAAGGAAAGCUCAAGGACCUGCAAGCUGUUUCAGCUACAACCAAGGAUGUCUUCAAGGCUGUAGCAUAGCAACGGGGCUUUCAGUGCCGCUAGGGAAUUAAUAAGCCUCUGCUUCAUCUACACAAAGUGCGUUAUGAGUACACUCACUAACAGAAUGCUUAUUUAAAAUGUCUCAUUGGUGCAAGCAAAAGUAUUUAAAAUUAAAUACUUUUUCUUUUUUUACUAUUUAUUCCUUUAUGUGUUUUGUGCACGUGAAUAGUACAAGAGGGAAGGCGAAAAUAGUUGCGAACCAUGCGACAUGGGUUUUGACAGCCAAACUCAACUCCUCUACAAGAGUAGUACAGUUCUUAGCUGCGGAAUAACUUCUCCAGUCCCUGAAGUUUGACUUCUAGUUUCUGUGACAGCCUCUCAUCUACAAGAGUGCUUUGCGUUUUAGAGCAUUCUCCACCCGCCCCCGUGGUAGGGUUUGCCCGACAGUAAUAAAUCCACAUGACUUAAA